AUUAUCACGCUUCCGGGUUCCGUUGGCGGGAUUUGUCUUCGUUGUGCAUGAACACUUCCGGCGCACUUCAACAAUGGCUGAAACAAAGGCUAGAUGUCACUGCUCUGUUCCACUUUGUACAUCUAACAAACAACACCAACCCUACUUAAGUUUUCAUGGAUUCCCGACUGAAUUGAGUCUAUGGAAGAAGUGGAUUCAAGCGGUUCGCCGGGAUGAAGGGCCAAACUUUAAAAUAAAACAAGGUAGCACGUUUGUUUGUAGCCGGCACUUUAGUGAAUCAGACUACACUAACGCUACAGCUAGCAACCAACCGGGGUCACACCAAGCGACUGAAAAUCGGGUCUGUACCCUCCUGUUUCCAGUGGAACAACUGGGGACUGCCAAGAAGUGGGUCUGUUUAUAAAAGAGCAUCAACUCGCUUAGUCCAUGACGUUCACCCAGCCCUUCCUCAUGAGCAACCGCUGCCCUGUGAAUAAGAGCCGAUGGAGGAGAUCGCAGCUUCGGUGGUGAUGACGGAACAUGAUUUCGGUUCUGCUCCUAAACCAGGUGCACUGGAUGCUGCUGCUGUACGCAUACAGCAAUUGGAAGAAAAAGUUAAGGAGCUGAUGAGAGCUGUCACAGCUGAAAGUGGUUCAAGACUUCAAGUGCCUUUUCACAGAUUUUGUGUCUCAGACAAGGACAUCCUUUUUUACACCAGAUUCACAUCAAGAGAUGUUUUUUGUGACUUCUGGGAGGUUAUUCAACCAUCUGCCUCCAUGUUGGUUUAUUGGUCAAAAGCUCAGAAAAAGAAACAAACAUUUGAACCCAUUUCUCCCAAUCCAACGUGUAGACUGCAACUGGUUGAGUUUUUUCUCUUCUGCUGCCGGGUUGCUGCAGGCCUGCAAGAGAAGGUGCUGGCUGACAUGUUUCAGGUCAGUGUGUCCACUGUCUCCCAUGUUGUUAUACCGUGGGCCAACUACCGUUACCUGCUCCAUGGCUCCCUCCCCAUCUGGAUAAGUAAACAGCAAGUCCACCAUGCCAAGCAAAUUUGUGCAGUACAGUCCAGAUGAUGAUGUUCGGGUAAUCAUCGACUGCACCGAGGUGCAGUCGAUGAUUACCCGAACAUCAUCUUACAAGAACACAACAACCUUUAAGGCCUUGAUUGGGAUUGCCCCUUGUAGUGCUGUGACUUUUGUGUCAAGUCUCUUCACCGGCUCCAUCUCCGACCCAGAGCUGACUGAACGAAGUGGACUGCUGGAUUUACUGGAGCCAGGAGAUGGCUGCAUGUCAGACAAGGGUUUCACCAUCGAGAAGCCACUAGCUGAUCGUGGGGCAACGCUGAUUAUACCACCCUUCAAGAUGACAGUUCACCGAAGAGGAUGCUCUGAAAACACAAGCAAUCGCCCGACUUCGAAUCCUCGUAGAAAGAGCAAUAGGCAGAGUCAAGGAAUACCGCAUCUGGGAACGCACUGUCCUUUCACCUUGUCUGCGACAGUCAACCAGCUGUGGACCGUCUGCUGUGUGAUGACCAACUUCCAGGGACCACUUGAUUUAAAAGGCUACAUCCCUGUUGAAUAGUGUUUCUACUCAAACAUGUACCUAUAAAUAUAAUAUAUAAAUAUUAAAACGAGAGGCACUGAA